CCCGCCUCUUUUGGAGACUGGCAGGCGUCUGGGGUAAUAGGAGCCAAAUGCGUCUCUGCACCUGUCCAAUAGCGCUCCGAGAAAAGGCAGUUUUGAAAGCUAGUCAGAUACCCUCCCUUUUGAACGCUUAGGGCUUGAUGAGUUGUAAACCCUGGUCUUCCAUGAUCGUUGUGGGACUAACCAUUUAAGCAACAGAACUGUUGACAGGAACAUUUUGCCUUCUGCAUUUGACCCAGUCUUCAAUGCUGCUGGUCAGACCUAUCAGGAGCCUGGGGACCCAUCUCUUCAUCUGUUGAGCUAUUCUUGGUCAGGAUUACCUAAGCCUGACGACCCAACGUGGGGAAACAACAGCCUGUCAACCACUGGGCCAUCAAGCUGUGGAAGGGUUGUGAAUUAAGUCAGCAGCUUUCAGGAUGCCACUCUCACUCGAUUUAAUAAUCUUUCCACAAAAAAUAUCGUGUUAUUUUCCCAUAACUUCCCCAACAAAUUAAAUGCAUUUGUUUUAAUUAAUAAUGCCCACUCAAAUGUUUUUGUUGACUCAAAGCUGCCAAGGGCUGUUUUGCGCCCACCUCUUAACAGUCAUACUCCAGAGCUAUCACAGACUUGAUAUUUGUUUAAUAAAUUACCAUGGGGGUUUGGCGAUUACAGAGCCUAAUUCUCUUUGUGGCACUAAUUGCCAAAUAGUUAAUUAAAAUGCGGUGUGAUCGGGCUGCACAGCAUCCCAAGGGAUCCAGCACUGCUCAUAUCAUAAACUCUUGAUUGCUAAUGUGAAACCGCAAUACGCACCAUCUCAUCUUUCUAAUGUAAUGAGCUCCCAGAAUUACACUUUAUGUCAUCUUCUGUUACUCAGACUUUUUCUAGGUUUUCAUCAAUAACUCUAUUAAAACAAGAAAGGCGGAGUGGUUUAAUUAAGUAAUGGGAAACAAGUUAAGACUAAGGAUUCAGGAAAAUAUGGGGACAAACAAUAACCUGACAAGAGCACCUGUUCAUUUUCUAUUACUAAUACUGAAUGAUUGGAAGCGUGUUUGAAUUAAAAAAUAUAAUUAUUACAACUACAAUACUUUUAUAAGCACUCUGCAGCUUGUAAACUGCCAUGAAAGCCUGUUCUAUUUUUGUUGAUGGGGAAUAGUUUAAAUGUAACAAUUGAAAAAUAAAAUGCAGAAGUCAUUGCAAGUUAUUAUCAAAAGAAUGUGGUGACUGAAAU